GAGAGAGAGAGAGAGAGAGAGAGAGAGAGAGAGAGAGAGAGAGAGAGAGAGAGAGAGAGAGAAGAAGGCCUAGAGAGUAAGAAAGGUGAGGGCUUAAAGAGCUAGUUCCACACAUUUAAGUUAUCACACACUUUGUUAUAUCUGAGAUAUCUUUCCAGUUCCUAGAAACUGGGUGUAAAUCUUUUGAAGUGGCCAUUCUGAAUUCUAAGUUGGUUUUUUUUUUGUGUGUGUGUGUGAAAUGAUAGGUACAUUACCUCCUGUAUCAACCAAACCUUCUAUUUCAGUGUCAUUCACUUGUAACUUUAAUUUUGGCCUCUGAUCAUUAAGAAUUGUUUCCCAGAACACAUGAUUUCCAGUGUUUACUGGUCUUUCUACUAGAGCAGCUAUGCCUUUGAUAGAAGGAAGCAGUAACAGCUGAGCAAUUCUAACACCUGUGUUAAAUUGUAUCUCUCUCUCUCUCACCAUAAGCAAGUAUUUUAAUUUAUCUUUUGAAAUCUUCAUAUACAAUUUCUGGAUGUUCAAUAAAUCCUUGGAAAGAUAAACUGCUCUUUCCUAAGACCAUUGCUACUAUCCCUGAGGGCAAAGGACCAUAAACUCCAGUAGAUAUUUUAUAACAUAUAACCUUUGGGGGAUAGUGUACAAUAUUAAACUAUGGCCAAGUCUAGAGCAGCAUUGCCUUUAGACACGGACACAUGGGUCCAUGAAGACAUUGAAUGUACAUGCAUUGCCACAUCAUCUGCACACUCCUAGAAGCCCAGACCUUUUUUCUGAUUUAUAUUUUGAAAUACCAUUGCCCUUAGAGGUGCCUUGUUCACAAUUUUGUUUCAAAAGUCCCACAAUUAAAGCAGUAGGCCUUUUGAUAUCAAAGACUUCUAGCUAUAACUUGACCUAUAUUAGCAUGUUAUGCGUUAGAACCAUGAUAUAUGAAUGAUAGAGAAUGAUAUGAAUGAUAUAGAAUGAAUGAUAUAUUCAUAUUCUUUAUCCAUUCAUCUACGGGCAGUUCCCAUGCCUUCAGUGGUCUUACGACUUUUUUACUUUCGGCAUUUACAUUCUCAAAUGCAAAGGUCACUAUCAACACCUAUCUUGAAUUAGGGUCUGAUAUGGUCUUAUUUACUGCUGAGAUAAAUCUUUGUAAAAAAAUCAGUGAAGGCUUCUCCAAAGCCUUGUAUAAUUUUUGUAAAUGAUGUGGAUUUCUUUCCUGGCUCCUCAACUUUGUAUCAAGCUUUUAAAGCUGAUAAAUGAAAAUUUUCUAUGAUUGCAUCUUCAAAUUGGACCUGUUCUUGUAUAUCAGCAUAAUAACCUUCACCUAUCAACUGGUCUACCACUAUAUAAAUUCCCCUUACUCUAUUGUGCUGUUCCAAACUCCUGGCUUCUUCUCCUUACCAUUACAACCACUGCAAUUGAGGACCAGCCUCUAGUAUAGCUACCAAUUCCCUCCAGUAUUCGAGUGCAGAAUAAUUCUACUUUGAGUAGCCCAAUUAUUUAGAGAGUGUUUCAUAUAGGGUGAGUGCAUCCUGUAAGACAUCAUUGCCUCAUUAACUGCUUUAGGUCCUUCAUUUCUAUAGGAUAUCAUACUCCUUCAUUAUAACCAUGUAUAUUAUCCUGACUAGCAAGCAUAUGCUGGAUAAGUACUGGGAAUGCUGUUGGUGAUUUUUCUGACCAAGGACUGCCUGUCCUCCAAAGGUGCUGUAGGUUUAACUCUGUUUCCUUAAAAAAGCUGUCUCAUCUGAUCAUCCUUAUGCUUUUUCACUUCUUGGCUACCCUUUGACACAGUUCCUUCCCCUCUUUCUAUCCGGGGAAAACUCUCUCUUUCAGACUCAUUCAUUGGGGAUGAACCUAUUUGUUCUCCCUUUUCUUGUUAUUCUUCAUUUCUUUGCCCAAGCUUCUAUAUUUCCACCUGUAUUUUUUCCAUUUACUCGGACAGUCUUUUCUCUAAUUCUGCCUGUAUUUUCCAAUUGCAUAGACAGUGUUUUUGAACAGAAUAGCCAAAACCAAAAAAAAUGAGGAAAGAGAGAGAGAGAGAGAGAGAGAAGAAAAAAAUCCUGCUGCUAAAAACCAUGUAGGUAAUGUCCAAUAUCAGCUUCAACAAACUCCCUGUCAGCUUUUUGAAACAAAGUAUCGAUCCCUUCUUUUCCUGUUGUUUGCUCUACCCACACAGGCUAGUUAGUCAAGCAUUUGGAGGGUAGGGUGAGGAGAAUAAAAAGUAGACAACAUGCAGAACCAAGUACACUCUUACCGGAAAAAGCCACACACUAAAGGCUAGGGAUGUGGCUCAGAGGUAGAGAACCUCCCUAGGAUGCAACUGACUCCAAUCCAAACAUUAGCACAGCAAAAAUUAAAAUUAGAAAAAAAACCCCUAGAUGUACACUGGUGAGGGAGGGAGGGAGCUUUCUGGCCAACACCUGUACCAAUGGAGGGUGUCUGAUGCCAAGCCUAUAUGGAGUUCAUAGGAAAGCACUUGUUUAGUGUGCUUGAGCCAGGUUCAAAGAUGUCACUAUUAGGAUUUUUGUUUCAAUUGGCUAAAAGCAUACCUUCAUUAGUCACUCAGGGCUGUGGGUCUUUGAUGACUUGAUGGUCAGAGGUGCCAGGUUGAACCUAUAUGAUGAGACCACACAGGAACACAGGUAAGAUAGAGGAAGACACCUGACAUGGACUUCUGGUCCCUAUGAGCAAAUAUAUACGUGAACUCCCACAAAUAAACAUGUACAGACAUGGACACACCAAACACACACACACACACACACACACACACACACACACACACACACACACACACACAAACAGGCAUACACAUGCGCACACAGGAGUUUAAGGAUGCCCAAAGAGGUAAUUAUAAAUCCAUGAUCACACCAGCAUCGUUCAUACUGGUUGAAGGAGGGAAUGCAAGAAUCCAAUGACAGAUGAGUGGAUU
rnacentral:lncRNA from 1 species